rnacentral:lncRNA from 1 species
AAAAAAUUUGAAAUCUCAAUCGUUGUGUGCUGAUGAAGGAAUUCUAACAUAUCUCUCCGCAGAGUGACGAGAAUGGUGAUGAGAAUUAGAAGAAAAGAAUUCUCGUCAAAAAGCCUCCUACUUUUUGAAACCGUGUAAUCCCCAUAAUCUGCAUGAUGCUUCCUGUCAUUAUUGUCAGAAUCGGUGCCAUGCCGCUUUAACCAGAAGUAGAGUGCUCUCUGACGUGAUUAUUCUAACCAUCAAUUUGGUUCAUAAGGAAGAAGGAGAGGGUUCCAAGUCCUAGGUAGAAGGAUAACAGUACGAAAACAAUAUUGAAUCUCAGUGUUUGCACCCCAAGUAAUGAGCCUAUCCAUUGAUUACCAGACCCAUUAUUAUUCUUGGCAUUUUCUUCAUGUGCUGGGUUCUUGUUGUCAUCAGAUUUGUGGUUAACGGUUUGCUUAGAUCUUCGUCUUUGAAAGGUUGCAUUUCUUCCUGUGGCAUUUGAUGGGGGGUCGUUUGCAUCAGAAAGCAGAGAUCUUGUAGCAUCAUUGUCAUUACUAGCCAUCACGUUUCCAAAUUACCUGUCAUAUAUAUAUAAGAUGAAAAACAAAAAAGCACCAAAGUAUUACCAGAACCCGAUUGAAAACCAAGCUGCAAUCAGUCCAGCUCCCCACCGCAAACCUCUAGGGUUUCCAAAUGAGAGAAAAAGAAAGUACAAAACAGAGAGGGAUGGAGAAAUUAAAUUACCAGGAGGAAUCCU